rnacentral:rRNA from 1 species
CCUANGGGUGGCUGCAGUCGAGAAUUUUUCACAAUGGGCGAAAGCCUGAUGGAGCGACGCCGCGUGGGGGAUGAAUGGCUUCGGCCCGUAAACCCCUGUCAUUCGCGAUCAAACCUUAUCAUUUAAAAGAUGAUGAGCUGAUAGUAGCGGAAGAGGAAGGGACGGCUAACUCUGUGCCAGCAGCCGCGGUAAUACAGAGGUCUCAAGCGUUGUUCGGAUUCAUUGGGCGUAAAGGGUGCGUAGGUGGCGGGGUUAGUCAGGUGUGAAAUCUCGGGGCUCAACCCCGAAACUGCACUUGAUACUGCCUUGCUAGAGUACUGGAGAGGAGAUUGGAAUUUACGGUGUAGCAGUGAAAUGCGUAGAUAUCGUAAGGAAGACCAGUGGCGAAGGCGAAUCUCUGGACAGUUACUGACACUGAGGCACGAAGGCCAGGGGAGCAAACGGGAUUAGAUACCCCANUANUC